rnacentral:misc_RNA from 1 species
AUUAUCAGGGUUGUUCUAUUCCUGGUGAAAUUCUCACGCUGAAAGGUGGCUCCUGGAGAAGAAUUGAUGAGCAUCCUCGUGGCAUUGACAACCGGUUCAUUUGCAGGCAGUUUUUGGCAUUUGUACAUGCGGCAUUUCAUUGGAUCAGUUACUCAGGAUAUCAUGCUGUGGCGGUGUCGUCGUUUAGUAUUUCAAAUGAAGUGUACGGAGAGAUACCGUUCCCGG